rnacentral:rRNA from 1 species
UGAGCAAUCUGCCCUUCUCUUCGGAAUAAGCGUGGGAAACCGCGUCUAAUGCCGAAUACGACCUCCUUUCACAUGAUCGGAGGUGGAAAGCUCCGGCGGAGAAGGAUGAGCUCGCGGCCUAUCAGCUAGUUGGUGUGGGUAAUGGCCCACCAAGGCGACGACGGGUAGCCGGCCUGAGAGGGUGACCGGCCACACUGGGACUGAGACACGGCCCAGACUCCUACGGGAGGNAGCG